rnacentral:rRNA from 1 species
UACGUAGGGGGCAAGCGUUGUCCGGAUUUAUUGGGCGUAAAGAGCGUGUAGGCGGCCGUACAGGUCAGCUGUGAAAACUCGAGGCUCAACCUCGAGACGUCGGUUGAAACCGUACGGCUAGAGUCCGGAAGAGGAGAGUGGAAUUCCCGGUGUGAGCGGUGAAAUGCGCAGAUAUCGGGAAGAACACCCGUGGCGAAGGCGGCUCUCUGGGACGGUACUGACGCUGAGGAGCGAAAGCGUGGGGAGCGAACAGG